rnacentral:rRNA from 1 species
GAUGAACGCUGGCGGCGUGCCUAACACAUGCAAGUCGAACGGAGUCCAGCCUUUAAGACCUUCGGGUCAAAGAGGGGAAGACUGAGUGGCGGACGGGUGAGUAACACGUGGGCAACCUGGCUCAUAGAGGGGGAUAACAGAGAGAAAUUUCUGCUAAUACCGCAUAAGCACACACUGCCGCAUGGCAGAGGGUGAAAAGAGAAUCGCUAUGAGAUGGACCCGCGUCUGAUUAGCCAGUUGGCAGGGUAAGAGCCUACCAAAGCGACGAUCAGUAGCCGAGCUGAGAGGAUGAACGGCCACAUUGGGACUGAGACACGGCCCAAACUCCUACGGGAGGCAGCAGUGGGGGAUAUUGCACAAUGGGGGGAACCCUGAUGCAGCGACGCCGCGUGAGUGAAGAAGUAUUUCGGUAUGUAAAGCUCUAUCAGCAGGGAAGAUAAUGACAGUACCUGAAGAAGAAGCCCCGGCUAACUACGUG